AAUACAGGAUAAUCAGUUCAACUUGAAUUACAGAUAAACAACAAAUAUUGUUUUAGUACAAGUAUGUCCCAUGCAAUAUUGGGGACAUACUUAUACUAAAACAUUAUUCAUCAUUUAUCUGAAAUUCAAAUUGAACUGGGUGUCCUGUAUUU
ensembl:miRNA